rnacentral:rRNA from 1 species
GACGGAGGGUGCAAGCGUUGUUCGGAAUUACUGGGCGUAAAGGGCGCGUAGGUGGCCUGUUAAGUUCGGUGUGAAAGCCCCUGGCUCAACCGGGGAAGUGCGCCGGAUACUGACAGGCUAGAGUACCGGAGAGGAGGGUGGAAUUCCUGGUGUAGCGGUGAAAUGCGUAGAUAUCAGGAGGAACACCGGUGGCGAAGGCGGCCCUCUGGACGAGUACUGACACUGAGGCGCGACAGCGUGGGGAUCAAACAGGAUUAGAAACCCUCGUAGUCC